rnacentral:rRNA from 1 species
AGGAUGAACGCUGGCGGCGUGCUUAACACAUGCAAGUCGAACGAGCCUUCGGGCUAGUGGCGGACGGGUGAGUAACGCGUGGGAAUCUGCCCUCAGGAGGGGGAUAACGGCCGGAAACGGCCGCUAAUACCCCAUAUGCCGAGAGGUGAAACGAAUUUCGCCUGGGGAUGAGCCCGCGUCUGAUUAGCUAGUUGGUGAGGUAAUGGCUCACCAAGGCAUCGAUCAGUAGCUGGUCUGAGAGGAUGAUCAGCCACACUGGGACUGAGACACGGCCCAGACUCCUACGGGAGGCAGCAGUGGGGAAUUUUCCGCAAUGGGCGCAAGCCUGACGGAGCAACGCCGCGUGAGGGACGAAGGCCUCUGGGCUGUAAACCUCUUUUCUCAAGGAAGAAGACAUGACGGUACUUGAGGAAUAAGCCACGGCUAAUUCCGUGCCAGCAGCCGCGGUAAUACGGGAGUGGCAAGCGUUAUCCGGAAUUAUUGGGCGUAAAGCGUCCGCAGGCGGCCUUGAAAGUCUGUUGUUAAAGCGUGGAGCUCAACUCCAUUUCAGCAAUGGAAACUACAAGGCUAGAGUGUGGUAGGGGCAGAGGGAAUUCCCGGUGUAGCGGUGAAAUGCGUAGAUAUCGGGAAGAACACCAGUGGCGAAGGCGCUCUGCUGGGCCAUAACUGACGCUCAUGGACGAAAGCCAGGGGAGCGAAAGGGAUUAGAUACCCCUGUAGUCCUGGCCGUAAACGAUGAACACUAGGUGUCGGGAGAAUUAACCCUUCCGGUGUCGUAGCCAACGCGUUAAGUGUUCCGCCUGGGGAGUACGCACGCAAGUGUGAAACUCAAAGGAAUUGACGGGGGCCCGCACAAGCGGUGGAGUAUGUGGUUUAAUUCGAUGCAACGCGAAGAACCUUACCAGGGUUUGACAUCCUGCGAAUCCCUUGGAAACUUGGGAGUGCCUUCGGGAACGCAGUGACAGGUGGUGCAUGGCUGUCGUCAGCUCGUGUCGUGAGAUGUUGGGUUAAGUCCCGCAACGAGCGCAACCCACGUCUUUAGUUGCCAGCAUUCAGUUGGGCACUCUAGAGAGACCGCCGGUGAUAAACCGGAGGAAGGUGUGGAUGACGUCAAGUCAUCAUGCCCCUUACAUCCUGGGCUACACACGUACUACAAUGCUACGGACAAAGGGCAGCAAACUCGCGAGAGCUAGCAAAUCCCAUAAACCGUGGCUCAGUUCAGAUCGUAGGCUGCAACUCGCCUACGUGAAGGAGGAAUCGCUAGUAAUCGCAGGUCAGCAUACUGCGGUGAAUACGUUCCCGGGCCUUGUACACACCGCCCGUCACACCAUGGAAGUUGGCCAUGCCCGAAGUCGUUACUCCAACCCGCAAGGGAGGAGGACGCCGAAGGUGGGGCUGAUGACUGGGGUGAAGUCGUAACAAGGUAGCCGUACCGGAAGG